AAUAAUUUACUAUAUAGUUAGACCAUUAAUAUUUUUUUUGAUAGUGUUAGCACAGAAAUUUCAGCAUUUGAUUUGUUUAUCUAACUCGAAUUCAUUUCAAGUUUUCAGCUACUCUUUGAUGAUGGAUGGUUGCAUUCAUUACGGGUUAAUUAGUAAUAUUCCAGCAAUACAUUGAUUUGUUGGAUUCUAGAGUUCAUGUCCAUUUUCAGCAAUUUCACAAAAGAUUUAUGAAAGAAAGGCAACAAGGAGAAGGAGAAUAGAGGUGUGCUCUGUAAUUGACAAAUAUUUCUCUCAGUUUGCACGCUGAGCCAUGUUCAAGUUAUUAAUAGUUUCAUCUUUUUUUACUCAUGAUCAAUCUUGAUGAAUUUUGAGGCACAGAUUAUAGUAUUAUACCCUUCCACUGCACUACUUGAGCCAUCAAUUUUAACUUAUUUAUUAGUUCCAUUGAGUUAACCUAUAUUAUUAGGAGGUACUUUUCUGUAUUUUUUUUGAAUGAAACAAAACAGCCUAUUAGUAAGGAUACAUUCCCUAACAUGAGAAUGAGAUAUAAUUUUGAGAAAAAAAAAAAAUUAUAUCAUGGAAUGUACAGAGUUGUCCUAGACUAAUUAUAUGAUAGAUACAAGUGUUAGAUAGAAAUGAGAAACUUUGGCUUCAUAUUUCUAUUUGUUUGAUCUGGAUUGUAAGGGUCAUUAUAACCCAACGUGGAUUUUUGUAAAUUUUACUAAGCAAGAUGAUAGUUGCCACUGAAUUUUUCAUUGAAAAUUUUCAAGAAAGUUUUUCAUUGGUUGUACUGUUUAAAGGAGGCCAACCUAUUAAUUAUAUAUGUGCUAAACAAUUGAGAACAUGGAAGCAGCAAAACAUCUGAACUCAGUUUGCAAGUCUGGUAAUUACAAAUAUUUUCCUUAUCUUCUUUUCAUGUUUAAGUAUAUAAAUGCCUUUGUUUGCUUGUUCUGCUUGUUUCCUUAUUGGUCUUGGAGAAUAGUACAGUGCGUCCACUUCCUCGCUAAAUGAUUUGAUCUUGAAUUUGUCCACAGGCAUCUGCAAUUCCAAUAAGAGACAUUUGGAAGCAAAAUCACCAUAUGGCAAUAAAUGCUCUCUUCAUUUUUUUGUGGAUUCCCUGCCCCUUAGUUAUUAUAUAUCAUGUUGUGGAAAACGGUGAUUACUGGAUAUGCACAAAAUGACAGGAUAGCUUUUUAAUAAGAUGCCUGAGCAGAAUGUCAUUUCUACCAAAGAUCAUGCUUUCGAGGAUAGUCAAGCAUUGUCACCUGUGCUACAGAAGGGCAGGGAUUUCACAAUGGAAACAUGAAAGGAGGCCUAGAAGGAGAAGGGGGGGUUGGACCGUAAUUCACAAAUAUUCUUCCUAGUUUGUACUUGCUCUAUAUGUAAAGCUGAUUCCACUUCAGCUUGGCAUCUUGGCACCGUUCCCAGAGGAUUUUAAGAGCGAUGGAAGGAGGCAUUCUGGUUUGAGAGAACAAAAACCUAAUCGAAUUUUUCACCUGUGUUUAUGUAAAUAAAAAGGCAAGUUUUUCAUAGGUAAUUCAUCCUAAAGGAGGCUAACCAGUUAUUGACCUAAAGUUUUAUCCCCAUGAAAUGCUGGAAUGUGGGACAUGUUUGAAGGGAAUUAAGGUUGUCACUUGUCAUGCUUCUCAAGCUAUUAACUGUUACAUUCACAUGAUCUUGAUCUGUCAAGAAGCAAUGGUUGGGAAUUGUUGUAAUGAGAACUUGCUUUGUGCAAUUGGAUACAAUUUGUUGAUUGUCGGGCAUGGCAUGUGGGAGUUAGUACCAAAAUAAAGAGUUGCUGGUGAGGUGUAGGCUUUGUUAAACAAUUCAAAAACCUUAUCUUGCAUACUUAUGAAAGGCGUGGAUUGCACUUGUAGUUAUCAGUAGCCUCUAAGGCAAGCCUUUGUUAUGGAAGCAGUAUAGGCAAGCUGUUAAAGAAGACAUUACUUUGCUGCGUUUGCAAUUUUUAAGUUAUGGUUUCAUCAAAGUCCCUGGUUGAAUGCUCACUAAUGCUUGUUGGCUUGACACUUUUACAGCUUCCUCUUUUCUACAUAUUGCCUGGUCCUCUUUGUAAUGUGACUUUUAUGUUAAACAUCAUACAUUCUAUUGAGGUAUUUUAAGCUGUUUUUUGGCUUCAUCUAAAAAGAAGCAAGGUUACCAGUUUA